rnacentral:misc_RNA from 1 species
GAUGAAGAACGUAGCGAAAUGCGAUAAGUAAUGUGAAUUGCAGAAUUCAGUGAAUCAUCGAAUCUUUGAACGCAUCUUGCGCUCCUUGGUAUUCUGAGGAGCAUGCCUGUUUGAGUGUCAUUAAAUUCUCAACUACACUGACUUUGAAUUGGUGUGGCUUGGAUUUGGGGGGAAAAUUGUUGUGGGCUUUUUGUAUAGUCUGCUCCCCUGAAAUUGAUUAGCGGUACCUUUGUGGAACUGUCUACAGGUGUGAUAAUUAUCUACAUCUUAGACAUCUGCUGGAAUGCUGCUUUCUAAACCUUACUUGUAUUGACAAUCUUGACCUCAAAUCAGGUAGGACUACGCUGAACUUAAGCAUAUCAAUAAGCGGAGGA